GGCCAUAUCACGUUGAAACACUAGUUCUCGUAAGAUCAACGACAUUAAGCAACGUCGAGCCUGGUCAGUACCUAGAUGGGUGACAGCUUGGGAAUACCAGGCGCUGUAAG